UUGAAGGCAAAGAGAUUCAAAAGGAGACCAGAAAAUCAUGAAACUUGGCGCUGCACGUUAUUUACUGCUCUUUAUUUUUGCAGUUAUUCGUGGUGCUGAGAUAAGAUGUCAAUUAUGCCCAGUUGUACAGUACGAUGAGGAAGCAGUGAUGUAUACAUUAGAUUGUGGAUGGUCUCGGAAAAGGAUAAGUUUUCAAUGCAGAGAUGGGUAUUCAUACCAGUCAGGAUCGUACCAGUCAGAAUGUUCGUUUUCGUGGACAUGGUGGAGAUGGACAGGAACUUCAAUGAAG